rnacentral:rRNA from 1 species
AGAUUGAACGCUGGCGGCAUGCCUAACACAUGCAAGUCGAACGGGAGUAGCAAUACUCUAGUGGCGGACGGGUGAGGAAUACGUAGGAAUUUGCCCUUAAGUGGGGGAUAACCCGGGGAAACCCGGAUUAAUACCGCAUGACCUCGAAAGAGCAAAGUGGGGGAUCGCAAGACCUCACGCUUUUGGAGAAGCCUACGUCGGAUUAGCUAGUUGGUGAGGUAAUGGCUCACCAAGG